rnacentral:rRNA from 1 species
AUUGAACGCUGGCGGCAGGCUUAACACAUGCAAGUCGAGCGAGCGGCGGACGGGGGAGUAAUGUCUGGGAAACCGCCUGAUGGAGGGGGAUAAGUACUGGACACGGUAGCUAAUACCGCAUACCAUCGGAUGUGCCCAGAUGGGAUUAGCUAGUAGGUGGGGUAAAGGCUCACCUGGGCGACGAUCCCUUGCUGGUCUGAGAGGAUGACCAGCCACACUGGAACUGAGACACGGUCCAGACUCCUACGUGAGGCAGCAGUGGGGAAUAUUGCACAGUGGGCGCAAGCCUGAUGCAGCCAUGCCGCGUGUAUGAAGAAGGCCUUCGGGUUGUAAAGUACUUUCAGCGGGGAGGCGUUACCCGCAGAAGAAGCACCGGCUAACUCCGUGCCAGCAGCCGCGGUAAUAC